GACGAACGCUGGCGGCGCGCUUAACACAUGCAAGUCGAACGGAAAGGCCCCUUUGGGGGUCCUCGAGUGGCGAACGGGUGAGUAACACGUGAGUAACCUGCCCUUGACUUCGGGAUAACUUCAGGAAACUGGGGCUAAUACCGGAUAGGAAUCCUUGCUGCAUGGUGGGGGUUGGAAAGCUUCGGCGGUUUUGGAUGGACUCGCGGCUUAUCAGCUUGUUGGUGGGGUAGUGGCUUACCAAGGCUUUGACGGGUAGCCGGCCUGAGAGGGCGACCGGCCACAUUGGGACUGAGAUACGGCCCAGACUCCUACGGGAGGCAGCAGUGGGGAAUAUUGCACAAUGGGCGGAAGCCUGAUGCAGCAACGCCGCGUGCGGGAUGACGGCCUUCGGGUUGUAAACCGCUUUCAGCAGGGGCGAAGCUUGUGGUGACGGUACCUGCAGAAGAAGCACCGGCUAACUACGUG
rnacentral:rRNA from 1 species